rnacentral:rRNA from 1 species
AUUGAACGCUGGCGGCAGGCCUAACACAUGCAAGUCGAGCGGAUGAAGGGAGCUUGCUCCUGGAUUCAGCGGCGGACGGGUGAGUAAUGCCUAGGAAUCUGCCUGGUAGUGGGGGAUAACGUCCGGAAACGGGCGCUAAUACCGCAUACGUCCUGAGGGAGAAAGUGGGGGAUCUUCGGACCUCACGCUAUCAGAUGGGCCUAGGUCGGAUUAGCUAGUUGGUGGGGUAAAGGCCUACCAAGGCGACGAUCCGUAACUGGUCUGAGAGGAUGAUCAGUCACACUGGAACUGAGACACGGUCCAGACUCCUACGGGAGGCAGCAGUGGGGAAUAUUGGACAAUGGGCGAAAGCCUGAUCCAGCCAUGCCGCGUGUGUGAAGAAGGUCUUCGGAUUGUAAAGCACUUUAAGUUGGGAGGAAGGGCAGUAAGUUAAUACCUUGCUGUUUUGACGUUACCAACAGAAUAAGCACCGGCGAACUUCGU